UACGGAGGGUGCAAGCGUUAUCCGGAUUCACUGGGUUUAAAGGGUGCGUAGGCGGACAUGUAAGUCCGUGGUGAAAUCUCUAAGCUUAACUGAGAAACUGCCAUGGAUACUAUAUGUCUUGAAUGUUGUGGAGGUUAGCGGAAUAUGUCAUGUAGCGGUGAAAUGCAUAGAUAUGACAUAGAACACCAAUUGCGAAGGCAGCUGGCUACACAAAUAUUGACGCUGAGGCACGAAAGCGUGGGGAUCAAACAGG
rnacentral:rRNA from 1 species